UGGUGGCGAUAGCAAGAAGGAUACACCUGUUCCCAUGCCGAACACAGAAGUUAAGCUUCUUAGCGCCGAUAGUAGUUGGGGGUUUCCCCUGUGAGGAUAGGACGUCGCCACGCA
rnacentral:rRNA from 1 species